rnacentral:lncRNA from 1 species
GCUUUCCCCAAACCCUAUAUGCUCAGAGCCAUUGAUUUCUGACCUGUCAGGAACAAUGGUAUUUCUUUACUUGCGUGGCCUCUGCUGUCCUUGGUAUCAUCCUCCUUAUUAUUUUACUACUAUACGUCUUCAUCCAGUACUUUGUGAAACCAGAGGAACUCCGCACAGACCUCCGAUUUGAAAACUGUCCUCACAACAUAUGGCUGACGUUCCUCCCUUGGCUUCCAGUGCAGACAUCUCCCAUUGUGCUCCUGACGAUAGCUGUGGUCAC